GCCGGCCUGAGAGGGCGACCGGCCACACUGGGACUGAGACACGGCCCAGACUCCUACGGGAGGCAGCAGUGGGGAAUAUUGCACAAUGGGCGAAAGCCUGAUGCAGCGACGCCGCGUGAGGGAUGACGGCCUUCGGGUUGUAAACCUCUUUCAGCAGGGAAGAAGCGAGAGUGACGGUACCUGCAGAAGAAGCGCCGGCUAACUACGUGCCAGCAGCCGCGGUAAUACGUAGGGCGCAAGCGUUGUCCGGAAUUAUUGGGCGUAAAGAGCUCGUAGGCGGCUUGUCACGUCGGUUGUGAAAGCCCGGGGCUUAACCCCGGGUCUGCAGUCGAUACGGGCAGGCUAGAGUUCGGUAGGGGAGAUCGGAAUUCCUGGUGUAGCGGUGAAAUGCGCAGAUAUCAGGAGGAACACCGGUGGCGAAGGCGGAUCUCUGGGCCGAUACUGACGCUGAGGAGCGAAAGCGUGGGGAGCGAACAGGAUUAGAUACCCUGGUAGUCCACGCCGUAAACGGUGGGCACUAGGUGUGGGCAACAUUCCACGUUGUCCGUGCCGCAGCUAACGCAUUAAGUGCCCCGCCUGGGGGAGUACGG
rnacentral:rRNA from 1 species